rnacentral:tRNA from 1 species
UCCCUGGUGGCCUAGUGGUUAAAGUUUUGGCAUUGUCACUGCUGUGGCUCAGGUUCGAUUCCUAGCCCAGGAA